UCCACAGGUUAAUCCAUCCCUCUAGUGACGUUGCAGCAAAAUUAGGUUUUUGUACAAUGUACUAUCUAGCGAGGUACUGGACCAAGACCAUUUCGAUUAAACCUGACAAUUUCUUUAGUAAGACGGUGCCUUGUUUGGUGAGGAGGAGGGGUGUUAAUGGUGGAGUGGGGAAAGACUUUCGUGGCUGUGCAGCUAAGCUGCAGAAAGUACACACUGUCAAUGUUUCACUUCCGAAGGUGAAACCACAUUUCACACACAACACCGCCUGCUCCCCUCAACUCCACCGCACAUCUCGGAUUAUUUCACUGUCUCGGGAAACUACGGUAUCAUCACAUAAACACGAAUCUUACAAUGGAAAUUCGCUAACACAAUCAUAGUUCAGCACAGUAGCUGUCGUGCUACGCUGGCUCAGUGGUUGACGCUGCUACUUCACUAAGUGCUAGGGUCAGAAAUUCAAUUCCACCCCCGCGAAGCUGCAGGUGAGGAGUUUGCACGUUCUCUCUGAGUGCCGUUUGUCCAUGUGCGCUGGCUUCCUCCCACAACACAAAAAUGCACAGGGAUAAAAGCCAGCCGUGGAAAAGUCUCAGCUGAUUUUUAAGUGCCUGUCAGAGGAGACCGUUCGUCACGAAUGUGACAAGAUUCUUUUGCCAGAGAAACAAGUCAGAGCGCCUCCUAAGGGCACACUGUCCUCAAACUAUUGCAAUUAGUGUCGUCACAAUAUUAAGAAUAUUGAUCAAUGAAGAAUGAUGAAAAAAAUGACUGAGAGAUUCGUGGAUUAUAGGAAAAACAAGUAUUUUUCAAAUAUGCAACCUUCUUGGAAACAUUUACAACAUUAUUAAGAACAAGCUUGUGUUCACUUGAAUGUUAAAGUCGGGCUUAGAGAUGUAAGUUGGAGAUUUAAAAAAAAAGGCCAGAUGUUACACAACACCAAGUUUCACUCCAACAGCUUAAUUUGAAACCACACGUUUUCGAUGCGCUAUUCCUUUGCCAAGUUCAGGAGACUUCACUAUAAGGAAGGAGCAGCAUUUCGAAAGCUGUGAUUUCAAAUGAACCUGCUGAAGAACAGUACCGUGUCGUGACACUUCUGACCCUAUUCAUCCCAAUCCAACACCGGCAUCUUUCCA